UGCGGAAGGAUCAUUAUCGAAUAAACUUGAACAGGCUGUUGCUGGCCCUUAGGGGUAUGUGCACGCUUGUCAUCUUUAUUUCUCCAACUGUGCACAUAUUGUAGACCUGGAGAUUUUUUUGUUGUUGAUAUUAGUUAUCGAGUUGGAACUGCGACUGCUACUGCUGUUGCUUUUCCUUGAAAUUCUUUCCAGGUCUAUGUACCUUUUUCACAAACCUAUGAAUCUGUUUAGAAUAACAAAGUUGAAUUUAAAUAUACAACUUUCAGCAACGGAUCUCUUGGCUCUCGCAUCGAUGAAGAACGCAGCGAAAUGCGAUAAGUAAUGUGAAUUGCAGAAUUCAGUGAAUCAUCGAAUCUUUGAACGCAUCUUGCGCUCCUUGGUAUUCCUUGGAGCAUGCCUGUUUGAGUGUCAUUCAAAUUCUCAAACCACGUUGUUUCGAUGUGGCUUGGAUGUGGGGGAUUUUGUGCAGGCCCUUUUUCAAGAGUCAGCUCCCCUGAAAUGCAUUAGCGGUAUCUGAGCAGAGAAACUACCACAGGUGUGAUAAAUUUAUCUAUGCCUUGGUGAGCUGCAUGAACAGAUUGUGCUGCUUAUAAAACCAUAUGAUGAUGAAAUUG
rnacentral:rRNA from 1 species